GAUGAACGCUAGCGGCGGGCUUAAUACAUGCAAGUCGAGGGGUGGUAGCAAUACUACACCGGCGCACGGGUGCGUAACGCGUAUGCAAUCUACCUUUAUCUGGGGGAUAGCCCGGGGAAACCCGGAUUAAUACCGCAUAACAAAUUAAUUGGCAUCAAUUGAUUUUAAAAGAUUUAUCGGAUAGGGAUGAGCAUGCGUAAGAUUAGAUAGUUGGCGGGGUAACGGCUCACCAAGUCUACGAUCUUUAGGGGCUCUGAGAGGAGAAUCCCCCACACUGGCACUGGGAUACGGGCCAGACUCCUACGGGAGGCAGCAGUAGGGAAUAUUGGGCAAUGGGCGCAAGCCUGACCCAGCCACGCCGCGUGCAGGAAGAAGGCCCUCUGGGUUGUAAACUGCUUUUGACCGGGAAGAAAAGAACCUUUGCGAAGGGAGUUGACGGUACCGGCAGAAUAAGCCACGGCUAACUACGUGCCAGCCGCCGCUGUAAUAC
rnacentral:rRNA from 1 species